GUUGUUGUUGUUGGGGGUUGUGCUUCCUCUGCUCUGGCUUCAGGUCGUGGGUCAUGCUCACAAUUGUGCUGCUGCCUGCUGGAUGGUGAGGUUGUUCGGAUAUGCGGCCACAGCGAGGGGAGCAGCCUAGCAUUGACUACUGGUUCAUGCUCUCUGUCCCCCAUUAGAGCCGCCCAUGUGUAUGUGUUGAGCAAGUUCACCACUGCAAAUUCUUGAUGAUACUACUGUAUACUGGUGCCUAGAUCAUCAAGGAUUAUAAUAGCCCUUGGAAGUGGUGCUGCACAACAACGAAGACGAGUGACCAUGGGAAAUGCAUGCAGUUCUGCAUUGAUAGAGGUUUACCCGCGAGAGUUGUCGAGUUCUCAAAAGACUGAAUUGAUAAG